rfam:Camelus ferus unplaced genomic scaffold scaffold707, whole genome shotgun sequence.
CGGGGCAUAGCUCAGUGUUAGAGUGUGCCCUUAGCAGGCACGAGGCCCUGGGUUCAAUCCCCAGUCCCUCCA